GACGAACGCUGGCGGCGUGCUUAACACAUGCAAGUCGAACGGAAAGGCCUUGCUUUUGUGGGGCGCUCGAGUGGCGAACGGGUGAGUAACACGUGAGUAACCUGCCCUUGACUUUGGGAUAACUUCAGGAAACUGGGGCUAAUACCGGAUAGGAGCUCCUGCUGCAUGGUGGGGGUUGGAAAGUUUCGGCGGUUGGGGAUGGACUCGCGGCUUAUCAGCUUGUUGGUGGGGUAGUGGCUUACCAAGGCUUUGACGGGUAGCCGGCCUGGGAGGGUGACCGGCCCCAUUGGGCCUGAGAUACGGCCCAGACUCCUACGGGAGGCAGCAGUGGGGAAUAUUGCACAAUGGGCGGAAGCCUGAUGCAGCAACGCCGCGUGCGGGAUGACGGCCUUCGGGUUGUAAACCGCUUUCGCCUGUGCCGAAGCGUGAGUGACGGUAAUGGGUAAAGAAGCACCGGCUAACUACGUG
rnacentral:rRNA from 1 species